CUCGUGCUUGCUAGGGAUCCAAUAAUCCCAAAAGCUUAUAAGCCCUUUAAGACAAGUAUUGUGUUUACGCUGAAUGAAGGUCCUGGAGUACUGUUUAAGGCUUUGGCUGUAUUUGCAUUGAGGGACAUAAAUUUAUCCAAGAUUGAAAGCCGUC